CGACCCGUUUCCACCGACCCGUUUCCACCGACCCGUUUCCACCGACCCGUUUCCACCGACCCGGUUCCCCACCGACCCGUUUCCGCCGACCCGUUUCCACCGACCCGUUUCCACCGACCCGUUUCCACCGACCCGUUUCCACCGACCCGUUUCCACACCGACCCGUUUCCACACCGACCCGUUUCCACACCGACCCGUUUCCACACCGACCCGUUUCCACCGACCCGUUUCCACACCGACCCGGUUCCACCGACCCGGUUCCACCGACCCGUUUCCACCGACCCGUUUCCACCGACCCGUUUCCACCGACCCGUUUCCACCGACCCGGUUCCACCGACCCGUUUCCACCGACCCGUUUCCACACCGACCCGGUUCCACCGACCCGGUUCCACCGACCCGGUUCCACCGACCCGUUUCCACCGACCCGUUUCCACCGACCCGUUUCCACCGACCCGUUUCCACACCGACCCGGUUCCGCCGACCCGGUUCCGCCGACCCGCUGCAGAAAUACCUCAGAGUGUCUGGAAACAAUGUUUUAUCAUCUUGUGUCAUAAAUUAUUCACAUUCUUCUUCUUCCUUUUUUUAAAAUAACUGUAAAAUGAAAUGUGGGGUAAAAAUCUUUAUAGAUUUUAAUUUGUUUUGUUUUAUUUUGAAAUGACGCUAAAACCAAAAAUGAGAAACGUUUGAACUCUCUGCUCUCUUUCUUGUUGCUGUUUGUUUGUUUCUCUCCUUUCAAAUUGAUUUAUUUUCAUUUUCGCUCAUUUUUUAAAUGAAUAAUGUCCGUCAGAAUAUUACCGUUCACUUUAAUCAGUUUGUUACAGAUAUUUAACAAUUUGUUCUUUAUUUUUUUUUAUUAUUUUGCUGUGUUGUCAUGGUAACAUCCCAUAAUAUUCACCUCAUAGCAACGUUUUCAUGCAUGUCCGUAGCUACAAGAAGCUUUUGUCUUCCCAGUUAGUUUUUCAAUAUUCACUGAAAUGUGAUUUUCUUGACCUCUGACCUGCUGAUGGAAGAGCUGGAGAUUUUUCCACCCAUCAAACUGAAACGUUGAAAAUGAUGAAAGUUUUUUAAUGAAUUUGUUUAAUUUAUGCUCAGAUGAAUUCAGUAGUUUCAGGUACAGAUUACAGAUUAACUCUGAAAUAUGAGGAGAGAUUAUUAAUUUAUUUCAUUAGGAAAAUCAGAGGAAAAAUAAAAUCAGAUCAAAACUGAAAACAUCCUGAAAAAAUGAGAAUAUUUCUGUUUUUAUAAAAUAUCUUCAGUUUGAAUUAGAUAGUCGUUCAUAUUUAUUACAUGAAAUAUUUACAAAUUUUCUUCAGUGUUUUAAUCAUUUUGUGAAUAUUUUUAUUUAAUGCAGUGCUGCAGAAAAAACCCAAAGCACUUCCAGUCAGACGUCUUCCAUUCAGCAUCCGGGUAUCGGACCUGAAACACCAACAACAGAACCUCCGGGUCGGUUUUGUUUUCCAGGAGCAGAAUAAUUGAUCAGGUCAGGAUUUCUUCAGACGGAUCCUGCAGAACAACGUUGUUUAUUUAACCAUUUCAGCUCCAAUAUUUGUCAGCGAGAAUAAAAUGGAGAUCAGAGACGAUUUGAACCGACAUGAAGCUCAAAACCAGCAGGAAAAUGUUUGGUACCAGUUUAACAAAACAGGAUUUAAAUUGGUUUGAUCAGGAAUCAGAUUUAUGGAGCCAAAUUGAGUCCAUAAACUUUGUUCACCAAAACAAUUUUUAAAGCCUCAAAAAAGGAAGAAAAAGGUUUGAAAAUAUGAAAAAAGUUGAAAAUGUUUCAGAAUCAAGUUUUUUUUUCUUCCAGUUUUAAACUUCUGGCACCAUUUUUGCUCUAUACGUAACCUGAGAGUCAAAGGAUCCAAAAUAUUUUGGGAAAAAACUGACACCAAAUUUUCAGAUAAAAACUAAAAAUAUCCAGUUGUAUUAAAUCACUCAAUGAUCAUUUUUCACCAAAGUUUUAUUGAAAACAAUGUAGCUAAAAUAAAAAACUGAUGCAUCAUAAUUUAGAAAACGUUUCAGUUCCAGGUACAAAAUAAAAUCAGGGAUGGAAGAAAACGGCAAUAAAGAAACAAAAAUGAUCAGAAAGAAAAAAAUAACUCAUAAUAAUCACAUUAAAAUCCAAAAUAUUAAUUAAAAGACUUUAAUUAAAGUCUCAGUUUGAUUCAACAUCAGCAGCAUCAACACUGAGGUUCAAAGGUCGGUCAGGAAACAUCAUCAGCUCAUCCAGUCCCUUUCUUUUGUUUUUCAACUUUCUUCCUCUUAUUUAAUAGAUUUAUUUUCCGUUUGUUGUAAAGUGACCAAACGUAAAAACUUCUGUUUGGUUUUGUCAUUUGGUUUCGAAUAAGAAAAGAGAAGUGACUGCAGACUUGUGGUGUGGAAUAAAACGAUGCGAUCAAGUAAGAAGGAGAACUUUGGGUAAUUAAUGUUCCACUCUAUGUAUAAAAGAAAACAAAAAAUCAAUAAAGAAAUCACAAUGGUCUUAUCCAUGUA